GGUUAAGCGACUAAGCGUACACGGUGGAUGCCCUGGCAGUCAGAGGCGAUGAAGGACGUGCUAAUCUGCGAUAAGCGUCGGUGAGGUGAUAUGAACCGUUAUAACCGGCGAUUUCCGAAUGGGGAAACCCAGUGUGUUUCGACACACUAUCAUUAACUGAAUCCAUAGGUUAAUGAGGCGAACCGGGGGAACUGAAACAUCUAAGUACCCCGAGGAAAAGAAAUCAACCGAGAUUCCCCCAGUAGCGGCGAGCGAACGGGGAGCAGCCCAGAGCCUGAAUCAGUGUGUGUGUUAGUGGAAGCGUCUGGAAAGGCGCGCGAUACAGGGUGACAGCCCCGUACACAAAAAUGCACAUGCUGUGAGCUCGAUGAGUAGGGCGGGACACGUGGUAUCCUGUCUGAAUAUGGGGGGACCAUCCUCCAAGGCUAAAUACUCCUGACUGACCGAUAGUGAACCAGUACCGUGAGGGAAAGGCGAAAAGAACCCCGGCGAGGGGAGUGAAAAAGAACCUGAAACCGUGUACGUACAAGCAGUGGGAGCCUCUUUAUGGGGUGACUGCGUACCUUUUGUAUAAUGGGUCAGCGACUUAUAUUCUGUAGCAAGGUUAACCGAAUAGGGGAGCCGAAGGGAAACCGAGUCUUAACUGGGCGUUAAGUUGCAGGGUAUAGACCCGAAACCCGGUGAUCUAGCCAUGGGCAGGUUGAAGGUUGGGUAACACUAACUGGAGGACCGAACCGACUAAUGUUGAAAAAUUAGCGGAUGACUUGUGGCUGGGGGUGAAAGGCCAAUCAAACCGGGAGAUAGCUGGUUCUCCCCGAAAGCUAUUUAGGUAGCGCCUCGUGAAUUCAUCUCCGGGGGUAGAGCACUGUUUCGGCAAGGGGGUCAUCCCGACUUACCAACCCGAUGCAAACUGCGAAUACCGGAGAAUGUUAUCACGGGAGACACACGGCGGGUGCUAACGUCCGUCGUGAAGAGGGAAACAACCCAGACCGCCAGCUAAGGUCCCAAAGUCAUGGUUAAGUGGGAAACGAUGUGGGAAGGCCCAGACAGCCAGGAUGUUGGCUUAGAAGCAGCCAUCAUUUAAAGAAAGCGUAAUAGCUCACUGGUCGAGUCGGCCUGCGCGGAAGAUGUAACGGGGCUAAACCAUGCACCGAAGCUGCGGCAGCGACACUAUGUGUUGUUGGGUAGGGGAGCGUUCUGUAAGCCUGUGAAGGUGUACUGUGAGGUAUGCUGGAGGUAUCAGAAGUGCGAAUGCUGACAUAAGUAACGAUAAAGCGGGUGAAAAGCCCGCUCGCCGGAAGACCAAGGGUUCCUGUCCAACGUUAAUCGGGGCAGGGUGAGUCGACCCCUAAGGCGAGGCCGAAAGGCGUAGUCGAUGGGAAACAGGUUAAUAUUCCUGUACUUGGUGUUACUGCGAAGGGGGGACGGAGAAGGCUAUGUUGGCCGGGCGACGGUUGUCCCGGUUUAAGCGUGUAGGCUGGUUUUCCAGGCAAAUCCGGAAAAUCAAGGCUGAGGCGUGAUGACGAGGCACUACGGUGCUGAAGCAACAAAUGCCCUGCUUCCAGGAAAAGCCUCUAAGCAUCAGGUAACAUCAAAUCGUACCCCAAACCGACACAGGUGGUCAGGUAGAGAAUACCAAGGCGCUUGAGAGAACUCGGGUGAAGGAACUAGGCAAAAUGGUGCCGUAACUUCGGGAGAAGGCACGCUGAUAUGUAGGUGAAGCGACUUGCUCGUGGAGCUGAAAUCAGUCGAAGAUACCAGCUGGCUGCAACUGUUUAUUAAAAACACAGCACUGUGCAAACACGAAAGUGGACGUAUACGGUGUGACGCCUGCCCGGUGCCGGAAGGUUAAUUGAUGGGGUUAGCGGUAACGCGAAGCUCUUGAUCGAAGCCCCGGUAAACGGCGGCCGUAACUAUAACGGUCCUAAGGUAGCGAAAUUCCUUGUCGGGUAAGUUCCGACCUGCACGAAUGGCGUAAUGAUGGCCAGGCUGUCUCCACCCGAGACUCAGUGAAAUUGAACUCGCUGUGAAGAUGCAGUGUACCCGCGGCAAGACGGAAAGACCCCGUGAACCUUUACUAUAGCUUGACACUGAACAUUGAGCCUUGAUGUGUAGGAUAGGUGGGAGGCUUUGAAGUGUGGACGCCAGUCUGCAUGGAGCCGGCCUUGAAAUACCACCCUUUAAUGUUUGAUGUUCUAACGUUGGCCCCUGAUCGGGGUUGCGGACAGUGUCUGGUGGGUAGUUUGACUGGGGCGGUCUCCUCCUAAAGAGUAACGGAGGAGCACGAAGGUUGGCUAAUCCUGGUCGGACAUCAGGAGGUUAGUGCAAUGGCAUAAGCCAGCUUGACUG
rnacentral:rRNA from 1 species